CUGUUCCAGCUACUCCUGUUAUUUGACCGCAGGUUAGGUGAGUGCUGCAGCCAAGCCCAGAGGCACACUGACAAGUGGGGAACAGCAGGUGCUGUCGCCUGGCCUAUCGCCACCCAGCUGGUUUCCAACCACCACCCAGUGUGUUUUUAGAAAAGCUCAAGCCCUACACCACUGAAUCUACACCUUCCAGGACUGCAAGUGGACUGCAGUUCCCACCAGGAUUUAGAACAGAUGAAGACAAGCAAAACUGACGUUACACUGCAGCACAGAAAUGACAUUCUACUGCGCUGAGAAGGGGAGUGCACAAGGGAGGAAGGAGGAAACACAGCACGUGACACUGGACUAGGACAGCAGACAAGGGGCUAGCGGCGUGGCAGAUCCAGCUCUAGAUACUCAUUUGAAGAGGCAGUCUCAAGAACAGCCAUUAUGGAUUUAUCCCAUCCUUUUGAUCAAAAACCAGCAAAACCCAUUCCUGUGUCUUACUGCAAUAUUUAUUAGUAAUAUUUUUCUUUUCUUUAAAA